GUCCCCAGGCGCCUCCCCUUGCCCCGCCUCGUAGGCAUGACAGUUGCCAGAGUCUCAAUGGGGGUUGGAACUUCCAGAUCCAAGCUGGAAUGGCUACCCACUACAACACAGCCUUUGGCGUGGUAGCCACCAAAGAUGUUACCCACGAUGAACCAAAGUGCUGGAGCUUUGCAUGAGUGUGGACUUACCGGUACGAGAGUCUUGAGUGUGCAUGCCUAGCUGAGCCUCUUGUCUGUGAGGUGGGAUCCACCUGAGCUUCCACAAACUAUUUUCAAAUCCAGUGGCCAUCUUGUGUCCUGUGGAUGGGAGUUCCAAUGAAAACCUCACAGAUGAGGUUUGUCUCCAACUGCUCAACCGGGGAGUGAGUGGAUCCCAACUAAGCAAACACAGUCUGGGUGGAGGAGAAAUGCUAAGGAGAAACAGUCUGCAAUGGAAAUCUACCAAAUCACCCUUCAGUUGAGCCCUGAAAGGAUGAAGAAGGUGGUACUGGAAGAACUGUUGGGGAUUUCUGUUGAAUGGGUAGUCUGUGAUGUUGCAACUCAGAUUCUGUGGGUUAUAAAUAUCCUUUACUAGGUUCAAGAAUUCUUUAAACCAAUGUGUGCUGAGCUCUACUGUAUAUCUGGCAAUGGAUAAAUGUUCUUUCUCUGAGAAAGGCCAGACUCCUGGUCUAUGGUUCUUAAUACUGGAGAGCAGAUGAGGAUAGAGUCUGUGAAUGAGUGUACUUCUCAAAUUUGCUCCAUUUUCCACUGGCCCAGGUCAAAACCAGAAUCAGAUUUACCUCUCUCUCUCCUUUCCCUAUUCUCUGUCUCCAAACCUUCAGAAGUUUGGUUGACUCUGCUCUCCAAUGUAUCCAGAAUCCCGCUGAGCAUCAACAUUCAUCUCCGCUUCCUGGCUGUACUUGCCAAGCAACCAGCUGUCCCACACUCCUGCCACUGUGACUUGCCCACCAUGAUGUUCAGUACUCCCCAAGUGUGAGGCAAAAAACAAACAAACGAACAAACCCCUUUCUUCCAGAAGUUGCCCAGUCUGUCAGGGCAACUAAUCCAGCAAAUUUCUUGGAAAUAAGUAGACUAAAGCAUAUGCAAAUCCUCCUUGUGAAGAGCAGGAGAGAGAAAGAAAGGAGGGGGAAGAACGGAGAGGAGAAAAAUACAGAGGGCAUAAAAAACUACAGAUAACUUUACUCUUAAUAAUAGCAACAAUAAAAAAUACCAGAGAGU